rnacentral:tRNA from 2 species
GCGAGCGUGGCGGAAUGGUAGACGCGCUGUCUUCAGGUGGCAGUGAGCGUAUGCUCGUGGGGGUUCAAGUCCCCCCGCUCGCACCA